rnacentral:lncRNA from 7 species
CCAGUCGUUUCAUCCGCAAUGAGGGUCACCAGAAACGUUGUGAAUGGAGAAGAAAUGCAGUAUUACCCUCUGUAUGGAAGGGUGAGAUGGAUCGUACCGUCACGGAUAGAGAAUUGCGAUAGGAGCUGGCUGGGAAAGCAUCAGUUAUAACACAGCCAAAACACUUCUCCCCAUCCCAACACCUGGGAAAGGAAUAAACAGAUCGCCCCGAAAAACUUCUGCCCGAUUGAUGCCUAAAGGCAAAUCUAUGUCAGAAAGACGGGCAAAGAGAAGAAGGAAAAUCCCCGAAGUAUCCAAAGGGUCACUUACGGGAGGGAGUGUUUCGAAGGGCUCGCUAGGAGUGCAGCCAGCUCGGCGCAUCGAACCCUGCAGCCAGGCGUUGUGCCCAGGAGCCGUGCCGCAGCGCCGUGCCCCCAGCCGGCUGUCAGAGCGAGGACCCGCCCCAGCGAGCCGGCGACAAACCUGCUUCGAGCCCGUCACCCCGUGUGCUUCACAGCGCGGUGCGGCGGGGGCAGGGAGGGAGAGAAAGAGAGAAGGGAACCGGGGGAAACCCCAAGGGGACGGCGGGACGAGGACACCCGACGGGGAGCUGCGGGCGCGGCUGCUGGCGGGCCUCGGGCCGCGCAGGUGCCGGGGUUCCGCGGCCGCGCUGCCUUCGCCGCGCUCCGCGGGGCCCCGCGCAGGGCCGGAAAGGCCGGCAAAGGUGAGGCGGGGGGCGGCGGUACCGUCCCGUCGGGUUCUCGGCCCAGCAGGAGAGGGGAGAGCGGCCGUCGGCGCGUGUGCGCUGCACACACCGGCGCUGUCUCCUCCCGACAGAGUGGACCCGCGAUUAAUGCCGCCGGACAGCUCCCCCCGACCCCGCUCCCCCUCCCCUUUUCUCCUCCCUUCCCGCCCCCUCCUCCCGAGGUCCUCCGCUGGUUUCAAUAAAAGGCAGGAUCCGAGCUUUCUCUCGUUCGAAUCAAAGAGGUGUCGCGAUUGGCUGAAACGAGGGGCACACGGGGUAUUUGCAAAGAUAUUUCCAAACAAUACUCGGCCGAGCCUCCCGAAGUUCCUCGGGAAGCGAGCAUUGUCUGGUAAAACAAUGACAGAAAAUAAAUCAGUCGUCGGGGUCCCCGUCGGGAUCCCGGGGGUUUCAACCCGGCUCCGUGGCUCGCCUUCCCAGGCUCUCCUACUCAUUAGAAGGUUAAUAAGAGGCGCCGGAGACUUACCCCGGGGUAACGGCGGGGGGACCGGGCUGCCGAGCCCGCGGCACUGGGGGCUCUGCUAG